AGGCUCGAUUGCAGAGGGACCCAGGCCAGAGAUCAGGAACAGAGGCUCCAGGCAGAUUGGCGGCAGCAGCAAAAACAUCACAGUUAGUUUUCAUCUUCACCUGCAUUUGACUUUGUGAGGCUGAAUCCUGACGUCUGGACCUUGACUUCCUGGGAAAGACAACUCACUCAUAGACAAAGGAGGGACAGAAAGACCUGAGGUCCCCAAAUUAUCCUGGGCUUUUCUGCACCUGCCAGCGAAGUGACCUUCUCUACUCACCUGACUGGCCCUGAGCUAACAUCCGUGUCCAUCUUCCUCUACUUUCUAUGUGGGAUGCCUGCCACAGCAUGGCUUGACAAGCGGUGCCUAGGUCUGCACCUGGGAUCCGAACCAGCUAACCCUGGGCCACCGAAGCAGAAUGUGAAAACUUAACUGCUGCACCACUGGGGCAGCCCCACAAUUAUUUUCUUUUAAAGAGGCAGAAGGUUUCUAACUGAGAACAUCCCAAUUUUGCAAUACAUAACCCAGAGGGCCGCCACUGGGAAUU
rnacentral:lncRNA from 1 species